AACGAACGCUGGCGGCAGGCCUAACACAUGCAAGUCGAGCGCCCUUUCGGGGGAGCGGCGGACGGGUGAGUAACGCGUGGGAAUAUGCCCUUCUCUACGGAAUAGCCUCGGGAAACUGAGAGUAAUACCGUAUACGCCCUGUGGGGGAAAGAUUUAUCGGGGAAGGAUUAGCCCGCGUUGGAUUAGGUAGUUGGUGGGGUAAUGGCCUACCAAGCCGACGAUCCAUAGCUGGUUUGAGAGGAUGAUCAGCCACACUGGGACUGAGACACGGCCCAGACUCCUACGGGAGGCAGCAGUGGGGAAUAUUAGACAAUGGGGGCAACCCUGAUCGAGCCAUGCCGCGUGAGUGAUGAAGGCCUUAGGGUUGUAAAGCUCUUUCAGCUGGGAAGAUAAUGACGGUACCAGCAGAAGAAGCCCCGGCUAACUCCGUG
rnacentral:rRNA from 1 species